rnacentral:tRNA from 2 species
GGGCCAAUAACUCAGUUGGUAGAGUGCCAUGUUCACAGCGUGGAAGUCGCUGGUUCGAGCCCAGCUUGGCCCACCA